rnacentral:sRNA from 1 species
CUGCACAUAACAAAGUAUGUCUGUUGGGAAUCCCACAUGAAUAAGUUAUGAAAAGAACAGUGAGUGGUGGCUUUUGUUCCCGCGCUCUGUCCGUCCUUUUGUUUCUUCUGGGCUUAUUUUCCCUUUGUUCCACUGACCUGUCAUCUUGCCAGCUUGGGUGGGUGAAUAUUGGCCACCCGUAGAGGAUCCAGUUUGACAGCUGUUUCAGAAGAAUAGGUUCAGAAAUUUGCCUUGAAGAAGAACUUCCAGAUGAAAUCACUGCAGAAAUAUUCGCGACUGAAAUUCUUGGCUUAACCAUUUCAGAAGAUUCCGGCCAGGAUGGUCAGUGAAGUUACCAGGAAUGUUUAAAGCACAAAGGACUUUGGGUGUGUGUGCAUGCACAUGUGUGUGUUUUCCAUGAGGCACUGCUUUUUAUGCAUUUCCCUCCCCCCCUCAUCUUUAGAACAUUUAGACAUUAAAGCAAGUUUCUGGUGAGCAAUGGAAUUCACAAA